GGCUCCCGCCGCGCGGCCGCUCGGCCCCGCCACCGCCGCCGCUGCUGCUGCUGCCGCCGCCGCGCCCGCCGCCGCCGCCAUCCUCCGCCGCCGCCGCUGAGCCCUGUGGGGGGCAACGGCGGCAGCAACGCCGCCGAGGCCGCUCGCUCGCCCGCGGGGCGCCGUGCUUGUGCCGCGGGAGGCGGGAGGGGGCGGUCACCCCGGCGCAGCCGCUCCUCUACCGUGUCGCCAUACUGGGGGCGGCACCAGCGGGCGGGAUGGGGAGCGGUUACAGCGGCAGCGGCCGCCGCCUCUCCUGCCGCCCCCCCCUUCCCCGCCCGGCGGGGGACCGGCCCCCGGCGGCACGGCGCGACGGGCCCGGCCCGCCGCCUCACCCCGCCCUCUGCUCCUCUCCUCACGCAAGAUCAGCACCCAACAAUGCCAGCUGAAUGUGGAUUCAGAGUUUCGGGAGGACUGUUGAUCGCCUCAGCUCCCUUUACUUCUGCCGAGGGAAAUCAGGAUAGUCUUUCAAGCCACCUUCUACUCCCGAUGAGCCUCUGGGAGACCAAAUAAAGCAUGCAAGGAGUGGACACAGCAAAGAGAGAAGCUAAGACAUUCCACUAAUUCUGCCAACUGUAUGAAAGAAAGUGAUUACCCAAAGGAUAUUCUUUCACUCUAG
rnacentral:lncRNA from 1 species